ACGUCAAGUCAUCAUGGCCCUUACGGCCUGGGCUACACACGUGCUACAAUGGUCGGUACAAAGGGUUGCCAAGCCGCGAGGUGGAGCUAAUCCCAUAAAACCGAUCGUAGUCCGGAUCGCAGUCUGCAACUCGACUGCGUGAAGUCGGAAUCGCUAGUAAUCGUGAAUCAGAAUGUCACGGUGAAUACGUUCCCGGCCUU
rnacentral:rRNA from 1 species